UCUGUUCAAUAUAAUUAUUUAAAAAUAUAUUGCACACUCACCGGCCUGAAAAGAUUAGGGAUAUUCUUUAAAAAGUGAGUGCACGUACACAAACAUUUGCAGGUGGGGUUGUGGGCAAAUAUAUUUAUUUUUCAAGUUAUAUUGCACACUUCCCGGCCUUUAAAUGUCCAGUGUUUCGACCCUAAACAUCUGUGAAAUCAUAAAAUUAUAUAAUUUCAUAUUCGCUUUCUUGGGAAAUACGCGCAUUCCGUUAUGUGCGAAAGAGAUGACAGCUGACACAGUUCUUUUAUUCCCUUUUGGGCUUCUUUAGAGUUGCCAGAUCGGCGACUUAAGUGUAAAGAGGAAUACUUUUUUUUUAAAUAUUUGUGCAAGUGGUAAAUGUUUAAUAAUUGCAAUUUGUGUUUAAUUUAUUAUAGCCCUAGGCUAUAACUUAAUAUUCCGCUCUAAAUGAUGCAACUAUGUAGGUAAUAGGGGCCUUGAGUGGAAAUAAGCAAAUUUAAUUAGUGCGCUUGGUUGGUUGCAUUUAUUUUGCACGUCAUUUACCGUUUUUAAGAGCCGGUGGGCAGUAUGUAUAUAUAUUACGUACAUAUAUUUUCUUUUUUUUCAUGGCUGUUUAAUGAUGGGAUGGCCAUUGGUUUGGAAAACUAACAAGAGGGAACAUAAUGAAUAAUGCCCAAGCACGCGCGAAACCAAGAGGUGUGAAAUUGGGCUUACGGGCGGUACUGAAGUAUUCGGUUUUUUAGGAACUGGGUUCUCUUUAAUGCACCAGAUGACCAUUAGAAGAACGGCUUGGUUUUUGGCGGAAGUUUCAAGUACCUCUGAGAUAGAUGAGAACCUGCUUGCAGUUCGUGCUGACAGCGAGGGCAAUUACAUAAAUGUUUGUUUUGACAACAAUAGCGGCUGAGCUGCAAACAAAAACCAUAACAACAAUAACGCCAGAGACGAGAUUGCAUAAUUGCUUGUGAGAGAGAUGAAGAGAGAUGGAGAGUGAUCCUUUUACCGCAAGUUGCAGCCUCUCUCAUUUCUCAUUUUCGAGCUUUUUCCCUUACGAAAGCUGCGCUCUCAGAGAUGCUCAAUGAGAGUCAGAGCGAGUCACAGUGGGCACUUUGUUUAUAUUUGCGCUGCCAGGCCUAUCUAAAUGUAUUCAAAUAUAACAAUAAAUUGUAAUAUAGCACUUUCGUAA